rnacentral:rRNA from 1 species
CCUACGGGUGGCAGCAGUGGGGAAUAUUGCACAAUGGGCGGAAGCCUGAUGCAGCCACGCCGCGUGAGUGAAGAAGGCCUUAUGGGUGGAAAGCUCUUUCAGCAGGGAGGAAAGUGUCGGUACCUGUAUCCUCCUCCACUGCCACCUCUGUUCCAGCAGGCGCGGUAAUACGGCGGGAGCAAGGGUUACCCGGAUUUACUGGGGGUAAAGGGAGCGUAGACGGGAGUGUAAGUGAGGGGUGAAAGGCGCGGGCUUAACCCGGGAACUGCUUUGGAAACUGGACGGCUGGAGUGCAGGAGAGGUAAGUGGAAUUCCUAGUGUAGCGGUGAAAUGCGUAGAUAUCAGGAGGAACACCAGUGGCGAAGGCGGCCUACCGGACUGUAACUGACGUUGAGGCGCGAAAGCGUGGGGAGCAAACAGGAUUAGAUACCCGUGUAGUC